rnacentral:siRNA from 1 species
AUCUCAUUCGGAUGAUCCAGUCAA